UACAGAGGGGGCAAGCGUUGUUCGGAAUUACUGGGCGUAAAGGGCGCGUAGGCGGACAGCUUAGUCAGAGGUGAAAGCCCAGGGCUCAACCUUGGAAAUGCCUUUGAUACUGGCUGUCUUGAGUUCGGGAGAGGCGAGUGGAAUGCCGAAUGUAGAGGUGAAAUUCGUAGAUAUUCGGCGGAACACCAGUGGCGAAGGCGACUCACUGGCCCGAUACUGACGCUGAGGCGCGAAAGCGUGGGGAGCAAACAGG
rnacentral:rRNA from 1 species